CACAAGUCGCAUACCCUAACCCUAAACUUCGCCGCCCCCGUACUAUAUGAGGAAUGCCUCCGUCUUCCUCACCAAACCGUUCGGGGACGGGUCUUGUUCAUAGUUUGCUCUGUUUGAUCCUUGGAUGUUUUUGGUUCUCUAUAUUGGCCUAACAAUUUUUUCUUUCUUGUCUGGCUGAUGAUGAGUGAUCUUAAGGAUCUUAGCGGAUUUCAGUGAGACUUAGUCUAUGAUCUGAUCUUUGUUGUUACACACACUGAAGCCCCCACUCCGUGCCUUUUUUCUCCCGCAAUUUUGUUUUCUUUUGUUUUUUAUGGGAAAAAAAAGUGUUUUUUUAACUCGUCUUCGGUUUGAACGAGCCGUCAUCUUUGUAUUUUCUGCAAAGCAGCUGAGGGUCGGAUGGAUGAAGGAUGCUAUGAUGAGUAUAAGAACCGGGUGUGGGCAGUGGCGGUGAUAUAUGUUGUCAUCGCCGUGAGCCAUUCUCACCAACUAAACGACUUCUCCUUCCACUGAGCUCCCAAUCCCUUCACUCUCCUUCACCCCUCUGCUUUGCUGCAAAAAUUGUUUUUUUCUGUUCUGAACGUUGUCCCAUCAGUUAUUGUGUCUUGUCGAUCGAAGACACUCUAAAUCACAACUAUUGUUGUGUAUCGAUUACUUCAUCUCUGAUUAAUAAUCUGCUUUAAUGUAAUAUCUCUACUUUUUAUUUUAUUUUAUUUUCUAUUUUAUGGAAUAAAAACAUUAGUUUAAAUGUUCUUGUGUGGACUCUAUUUUAUUGUAGUUUACUUAUUUUCUUUCCUGCCACUUCUCUAUGUUUUGGUUCUCUUGGUUGUCUGUGUUUUGACACAUUAGAAGUCAACCUUCGAGCUAUUCAUUUAGAUUUGAUGCCGUGAUGUAUGAUCGUCUACAGAUGAAGAUUAAGGAUCACAGAUGAACUUUAUUGAAGUGGGGACAAUCAGCUGGAAACUUGUUGAAUCAGGGACAAAUUGUUCUGAGCACAACUAUUAUUUGUUGUUCAACAAAAUUAGCCAUCAUUGUGUGCUGUGGUGUUUUAGAUGAUCCAUCCAGUUAUCAAGAGUAAUCAAUGGAGACAUCCAACAUAUCUGUGAUUCA